GAUGAAGAACGCAGCGAAAUGCGAUAAGUAAUGUGAAUUGCAGAAUUCAGUGAAUCAUCGAAUCUUUGAACGCACAUUGCGCCCGCCAGUAUUCUGGCGGGCAUGCCUGUUCGAGCGUCAUUUCAACCAUCAAGCCCCCGGCUUGUGUUGGGGACCUGCGGCUGCCGCAGGCCCUGAAAAGCAGUGGCGGGCUCGCUGUCACAACGAGCGUAGUAGCAUACAUCUCGCUCUGGGCGUGCUGCGGGUUCCGGCCGUUAAACCACCUUCAUAACCCAAGGUUGACCUCGGAUCAGGUAGGAAGACCCGCUGAACUUAAGCAUAUCAAUAAGCGGAGGA
rnacentral:misc_RNA from 1 species